UGAGUUGGCUUGAAACCAAACUGGAUGCAGAAAUUUUCAUCCAAACUCAAAGGGUGAUGAUGGGAAAUGAGAGAAAAAGAAUCUCAAAGGGACUUAGUUAAAUGCAAAGCUGAGAUACUUUUCUAUGCCUGUCAGUUUAUUUUGCUCCAGGUCACUUUUUAGCUAGGUCAGUGGUUUGUGGGUAUGUAGUCAAAUGAACGGCAAAUUUUUGCUCUGAAUGCAAUGCUUCAACAAAGCUCCAUAGAUUAACGCUGAUAUAAAUCUCUUGGAAAUUGCACUUUCUCUGCAGACCUAACAGAGGUUAUGAACAGUACUUCAGAAAUCAGCAUUUAAAUAACAUUUCAAAACCACUAGAAACCUCAUUAUCCUGAAUGUAUAGUUUUAGCAGUCAUACAAGAAGUGAAAACACUGUGAAACAAACAUGCAACUUGUACCUGGGAUUAAACAAGAGGACUGCCUAAAUACUGUGUUGAUAAACAUCCAAUUGGCCACUAGGUACCUUUGCAUAAAUGCGUUUGCUGAAACUUCAUAAGGGCCAGAUGGUGAUCCAUGACCUAUCCCUUCUUACUUCCCUCAGUAACUCUGUGGCAUCAGGGGAUACAGCUUCUGUGAGAAGCUGUUCUCUAAAGUCAGUGAGCUUCUGCAGACCUGGCAAAAGUGUUUAAGUCUUUGUCACCAUUUUUAUUUCUUUACCCUCCCUCCUAGGCAUUUCACUAAUUCUUUGUUUUCCACAUGUCCUUUACUAGCGAUUUCUGUAGACGGCAUUUUUUGGAGGGUUUUUUUGCCUUCUGUGUAAAGCGGCAUGAUUCACUUUGUAGCUCCUGCUUAGUGACCUCUCCUCAUGUUCUCCCCUAAUCAGACCCAUCAGUGAUUAGAUGCUCAGCAGAGGUGAUUGUGCAGCCUUUGACACUUUGCAUCCCCUGCUGCCUGGAUUUCAAAGAGUAAAGCAAUUUCUGGAUUAUCUCAAACACACUGACAACAUAAUCAGCAACAGCCUUCCAGGUGAAGAAACCUAUGUGGAAUAUGUUAAAUGAUAAGUAAAACUUGGGCCAUGAAAGGUAUAAGAAAAGGAAAUUCUGCUGCUUGAGUGACAACGUUGAUGUUUACAUUUUAAAUCUAAGGCUGAGUGCCCUAUUUUUAAUUAAUUUACCAUCCUUCCCUAGCCCCCUCCUUCAAAAUGUUUCACAAAUUGUGGUACUUGUGCCUUCAUUCAUUAUUUGUAAUUGUGGUGGGAAUCAUUUAUCUAAAAAACUACAGCUGCUGGAUUUGCUAUAAAUCAAACACUAUAUGUGUUGGGUUUUUCCGCCUGGUCACCUGAGUUAUGUGGUGCUAUUCCUCUUCUUUAGUUGGAUGAAAAACUUUAUGAAGUGGGGACUAGUUAACUCUAAACUUCAGAUAAAUUGUCAUGUUUGCAGUACAAAUGUACGUAGAUCAGAAGAACAGAUGCAGGGCAGCAGUAAAAGUGCAGUAGUCUUUGUGUCUGCUCAAUAAAAUGCAGAGUGAGGAUUGACUAUUACAUUUAUAUAGACAUGAUUUUAUAUUAUCACUCCUUUACAUACACUGAGACAUUAUUGCAACAAGACUGUCUAUAAUAGUUUAAUCAGAUGUGUAUACAGAGAGUUCUAAACAUUAUGCACUGCUAGAUAACUAUAUGCCUAUUAAUUAACUAUUAAUUAACCUCAGCCAAAUUCUCUUGUUAAAAACUUUUCUGGUCCUACAGUGGCAACCUGGUACACACAGAACUGGGGCCAUGGGACACUUUGGGGGCUGCUCAGCUGCUUCCAUCGCGCUGUGCCACAACCUGUCUUGUUUGUUUGACAGCGAACCUCAGAGGAGAAAGCCAUGCGCAUCUGUACGGAGCAGCGGCAAAUUUCGGCACAAGAGCUGAGUGGAGAAUCAUAUUCAUACCUCUGAAGCUGUAGAGGAGUGCUGUAAUUGCUGUAUCUCACGUUAUUGCACAACAUCUUGUUUGUAUUCUUUAACCGUGUAGCAUAAAAAUGAAUAGGUAGGAGAAGAGAGAGUAAGUGUAUUGAACUAUUUUCAUGGAGUUUGAAGACUUGAAAUACCAUGCCUUUGUGCUUGCACAUGGGCACAAAUCCUGGUGUUGCCUCAGACUGAGCAGGAGGUGCAAGUGGAGCUGCGUAAGCCCAGUGGAAGGCAGAGCCCUCAGCUGGAAGUUGCUAAGCACUAGGUGGUUCAGGGACAGGCACAUAGUACUGUAUUGUAAUGAAAGCUGGAUAAUACAAUAAUUUGAAUUCAACAGAGUGCAGACGGAAAUGUAGAGAAAAUUAGAAAAAUCAUAUAAUCCUUUCCCCAUACAAAGCUUGACUCAAGGUAGAUUUGGUGGAGCCCCUCUAGUCAGCUUCAAUUAAUGGUUACUAGACAGCCCCCUACUUCUAAGUUGUCUAACUGUACACUAUCUGAAGUCACAGAAAGAAUAUAAAACUACUGCUGUCUUUGAAGUUCACAGCCAGGGAAUCAUGGUUACUAAAGACUAAUAAUUAUCUCAGCAGUCAAACUAUGCUAGGCAAAACUCCAGUGCAAAUGGCAGACGGCAAGUCUGAUGUUAUAAUGCAACAUUUCCUCAGAAUAGUGUCUACACGAAGAACAUAAACCAUGUGCAAACUCUAAUCUCAUUGAAACAGCCUGCAGAAGUACAUGUAUAAAUCAAGGGUUAAGUAGGAAUGUGUUUUUCUGAAGAAAGUAGAGGUACUUUCAGUGUUUAAUUAACAGAAUACUAAUUGGGUAAGGGGAAACAUAGAGUAUCUGUAAGAGAUUGGUGGUGAAGCUUUUAGAGCCAAAUAUUUGACCUGUGGAUAGAAAUUAUAAGUCAAGAGCAAACCCUAAAUUUUAGAGUUGUUAUGAAUACAAAUAUGUUCAGAAAUUCUAGAUUCCUGAGAAAUAAUAUGCUUGGACAAAACUAGGCUAUUUUAGCCAAGAGUAUGUGAAUGCUUUGUACGGACUGACGUCCUUGCACUGACGUAGUUUUACACCUCAUGGUCCUGUGAGCAAUAUUGUUGGUUUUUUUAUAUGUGGCUCUGAUGCAUCAGAGCUGAGAGCAGGGAGAGAAAGGAUGUCAAAAGAAUAAGUUUUUGCUCAAAGGCAGUCACAUUCUAACAUAUUUGGGAAGGUCUUUAUUCAUAAGAAAUGAGACCACACAUUUCACUGUGGUUACCAGGAGUGUAAUUUAAAAGUGUGCAGCCCUUGGGCACCACAGACAGGGGUGUGAUAACUCUAAAGAGUCCAGCCCACAAAGAAGAAAAAAAACCAAAAAUCUCUGAGUCUUAGUUCGUAUUUGGCACUCUGCUCAUGGGGCAAUGCUCUUUGGCAAUUAAGCCCACUCAGGGCAACAACGAAAGCGCUGCAGCGCCUUAUGGUAGCACCAGGCUCUCCAAGCACUGUGUGUGUGCUGCUUUGAGCAAGCCCCAUUUGGCAUUGAUAGCAUCGGGCUGGUGGAGAGAUUUUACAGUCUGAGAAGUCUGUCCUGCUGUAUUGACAACCUUUGCCCAGUGGCCAUAUAACCCAGAAUAUCAUGCCCCUUUUUUUGUGACUGGUGCAGAGGAAAACUGCCUUAGGCAGUCAAAGCAGCAGCCAGGCAGAGAAAAAGAAAGUCAGUGUCACAAGAGGUCUUCCAAAGCACUUGCAAAGUUAAAUAAGCAGUAAAUUAUUCUACUCAUGUGCAAAACUCAUUUAGGUUAUGGCUGGAAGCAAGGCUCUGUGAAGCACUUCCUUCAGUCUCCUCUUUUGUAUGUACAUUAUUUUAAGGACUUGAAAGAGGCAAACUGAUAAACAUGGAACAGAAGUCCUCUGGAUCUUUAAAACAGGAAAACAAACUAUACAUCAUAUCAGUCCUUCAUCCUAAGAUACUGACAGCAGGCUUGAGGUAUGAGCAGUGUUGUGUGUCUGAUAUAUACAUAUAUUUUUUAAUAAGAAUAUAUAUAUCUUGUUUAAAAGUACAUUCUUCAAAAUUAAUCUCCUAGCCUAUAAAUUAGUUUUGGACUGCAUAUAUUUUAUUUCUUGGUGUAUGCCAGAUACUUCUCUGGCAUGCUGUGAUUCGGUGUGCCUCCAACAUCAGCACUGAGAAACUUCGUGACUGAGCCAAUGCCUCUGAAAUUAAUUAGUCUUAUUCAGUUGGCCUGAGGUGGUCUUGGCAGCAACAUGUGUGCCGUGAAGGCCAGCAGACUGAGAAGCACUGGGCCAUAGCCCACAUUUACCCAUCUGAGUUUCAUCACUUCAGUCAUGACAAAAUCAGAAUAUAUUGUUUUGUGUAAUAAUAUAUUGUUUCUUCUUCUACUAACAGUGACCGCAUCUAUUUUUUUUCCCCGUGUCGAAGUCAUGACUUUCAGAUUAAAAUUGAACAUGUUCUUCAAGCUACAAUGAGUGGUCAGACCUGAUUAAUUGCAUAGGGACCUUGUAUACUUGAUGAGUCUGAGGAUCUUGGAUUCAUGCAUUGUUUUGUGAGAGGCUGAAAUUGAUAUUUAGCAUAUUAUUGACCAAAUUU